rnacentral:lncRNA from 1 species
GCAGUUUGUAGAGGCUCUGUGGCCCUCGAUGUGCCUGUGCCUACUCUCUCCCUGCCAAGCCUCACAACAGUAUAACCCGGGACCAGGCAGCCUGAAGAUGGUUACUCCCAUUUUACAGAUGAGGAAUCUGAGGUCAGGGAGCACUGUACCACAGGGGCAGCAAGUCAUGGACUUGAGACCUUGGUGAAGGUCUUCGGACCACCUUUUUACACAACACCUUUCUGCACAACAGAGAGAGAAGAAAGGGGAAGGAUGCUGGAAUAGAAGGUACCGGAAUAGGCUCUGUCUUGAGUAAACACAUUUUUUGCUCCAGGCAUCACCAUGAGAAAGACUAAAGGCCUGGAGCAUUUGUGAUGAUACUAGUUAAUUGCCAUUUCUGUUCAAGGGUGCCUGUGCUCAAAAAAUGUCCUCUCAUUAUAACCUGGUGCAGCGUUGAAGGCCCGGCUAAGGGGAAAAACAGAUAAACAAAGCCUGUUAAGUGGAAGGCAGAUUAAGUUGUGUCGAGGAGGGGACCGUCAGAGGCUGUGCUGUUCUUUUUGCUGAAAGUUGAGUGUAUCAACACAUCCAUUAUUCAUGAAAUCUGACACUGAGUUUGAAGCUGUUCUCUUGGAAAGAAUCUCUAAAUUUUAGAUUUUUUAUUGUAUUUUAUUUUUGCUUCUUCUUGGAUCUCAGGGAAAGUAAGCCCGAGGUGCUGGAUGCUUGCCUUUGAAGCAGUCCAUGAAGGUGAAUGAGCAUCAGAAUGACCUCCCAAGCAAAGGCGGCACCAUCAGCAGCAGUGAUGAGCGCUCAUCAUGGUCAUGCCAAAGUCCAGGGGGUCUGGCCCAACUGCAAUAUCCAGAGACUUUUCGGUGUCAUAUGAAAGAAAAGGAGCAGGAAGCCAAGAUGCCCCACCUGGCUUCUACAUCAGGGUGAUCUGCAUAGUAAGAUGCAAAGACACUGACAUAUGCCUGGGGGUAACGAGGGCAGUGGGGGGAGGGAGCUAAGCCAAGAUAAGCCUCCUCCCCACCAAACAUAGGUGCUACUGAGCAAUGAUAGGGGGCAUGCUGUCUGCUCUGGUACUUGCGUAGGGAAUGCUCUGAGAAACCUCACUAAAUCUGCCCUCUAGAGUAGAGCAACCUGGGAGCUCAGGCUUCCCUUUCCUCUGUGUGAUGGGUUGGCGGUCCUUAGAGCCAGCCAUUUCGUCCUGCUCCUUCUCUCCUCCCCUUCCUGACCAAUAAAGAUUGUGUGCUUCUGCCCAGUCAGCAGGGUGGGCUCUCACUCCAUCCUGCCUCUGGUAUGACAGCACAAUUCCCCUCAUUCUUUAUAAUCAUUAUAAAAUAAAAU